rnacentral:lncRNA from 1 species
UUGCAGCUUUAUUACCACAGAUGUGGUAAUCACUAAGAGUUGUGACCCAAGAGAAUUCUCAUUAUCAUGGCACAACUGUCAGGGAGAUCCCUCAAGGAGCUUACCAAGGUACGAAGCUAAAAGUGUAAUUAUAAAGAAAGGACGCUGGCCAAUGGAAUGCUACUUUGUGCUUUCUGGAAAAUUAGCAGCUGUAUCAAGUUUAACAGCUGAAAAUUCCAACUCAGAAAUUAUAAGUGAAUUUGAAGAAGGAGACUUUGUAGGGGAAACUUGUCUGUUAACUAACACCCGCCGACCUACUACAAUUGUAUGCAAAUCAGAUGCAGAACUUCUGGUGAUAAGUAAGAAGGACUUCGACUACAUUCUCUCAGAUAUAGUACAAGAACAAUUUCAAGGAAUGUGCAGCUUCAUAAGGGAUCUGCCAAUGUUCUCUCCCUGGUCAAAAGAGAAGAUUGAUUAUCUUGUUCACUGUUCCUCACUCAGACGCUAUAGGUUGUCAGUUGUAAAGUUCUGCAGUCUUAUAAACUGUAGAACAUAA